AAAAAUCAAAUGAAACAUAAGAAAGUCAAAGGAUGUGAAGUAAAGGUCCUAACUCUUAAGUAUUGCGUGGUUUUCCAUCACAGCUCUUAAUGUGGCUACCAUUUUGACUCUAAAGGGUUUCACUUUCAAUUCAAACUCACACAUAUGAUCUCUCUCACCUGUUUUCUCCUUAAUUACUCUCUCUUAUUUAUUACUUUUAUUUUCAUUCCAUUUAUCACAUCACUUAUUGGUCCCUCUCUCUGUCUAGUCUCUACCUAUAUAUUUAUAUUUAUAUAGAUGACCACCAAUAUUAAUUAUUAUAGAUAGCUCCUCUUUCCACUUUGAGCUUAAUUAACACCAAGUUCUCUGUUUUUGCCAAAAACUUGUUAUAGCUCUCUUAACAAUUAUAUACUCUGAUAUUGUUGAGAUUAAUUUCAGUAAAGAUAGGUGAAAAUGGUUAUGAUGGGGUUGGAAAGGCUUGUGGUGAGUUUGAAGACAAAGAUAAGAUCACUGAAGAUGGUGAAGAAAGCUUAUGAUAAGAUUGAAAAGAGUGAAAGCAUGAGAGUGGAGAUAAGAAGCAAGAAGGCCAAGAAGCUUAUUGAAAAGACUCUCAAGAUUGCUGAUUCUCCAACCACCAAGUCUUAUGCUUUUUGAUACUCUUUUACUUUUACUACUAGAAUUUCUUAGAACAAGAGUGAAGUGAAGUCAAACACUCCCUUCCUCCUUCAAACUCAAAACUAGUGUAAUUUUAUGUUUAAUCUUCAACUCUUGCUUUUCCUCUUUUUUUUUUUUUUUGGUUUAUACAAGAUGAUGAAUAAGAGUCUCUCUCUCUCUCUCU